rnacentral:rRNA from 1 species
UACGUAGGGUGCGAGCGUUGUCCGGAAUUAUUGGGCGUAAAGAGCUCGUAGGCGGUCUGUCGCGUCUGCUGUGAAAACUCGGGGCUCAACCCCGAGCCUGCAUUCGAUACGGGCAGACUAGAGUUCGGUAGGGGAGACUGGAAUUCCUGGUGUAGCGGUGAAAUGCGCAGAUAUCAGGAGGAACACCGGUGGCGAAGGCGGGUCUCUGGGCCGAUACUGACGCUGAGGAGCGAAAGCGUGGGGAGCGAACAGG